GACGAACGCUGGCGGCGUGCUUAACACAUGCAAGUCGAACGGAAAGGCCCUGCUUGCAGGGUACUCGAGUGGCGAACGGGUGAGUAACACGUGGGUGCUCUGCCCUGCACUUCGGGAUAAGCCUUGGAAACUGGGUCUAAUACCGGAUAGGAGCCAUUUUUAGUGUGAUGGUUGGACAGUUUUUUCGGUGUAGGAUGAGCUCGCGGCCUAUCAGCUAGUUGGUGGGGUAAUGGCCUACCAGGGCGGCGACGGGUAGCCGGCCUGAGAGGGUGGACGGCCACCUUGGGACCGAGAUUAGGCCGAGAUGCCGAAGGGAGGCAGCAGGGGGGAAUAUUGAUCAAGGCGUGCAAGGCUGAUGCAGAGACGCCGCGGGGGGGAUGACGGCCUUCGGGUUGUAAACUCCUUUCGCUAGGGACGAAGGCUUUUGUGACGGUACCUAGAUAAGAAGCACCGGCUAACUACGUG
rnacentral:rRNA from 1 species